rnacentral:rRNA from 1 species
CCCCUAGAUGUUCUGGGCCGCACGCGCGCUACACUGAACAGGUCAACAAGUCUUAACCUUGGCCGAUAGGUCUGGGUAAUCUUUGAACGCUGUUCGUGAUUGGGAUAGACCUUUGCAAUUAUGGGUCUUCAACGAGGAAUUCCUAGUAAACGCAAGUCAUCAGCUUGCAUUGAUUACGUCCCUGCCCUUUGUACACACCGCCCGUCGCACCUACCGAUUGAAUGGUCCGGUGAAAUCUCGGGACGGCGGCUUGGUCGCUUGCGUCCGACUGCUGAAACUUGAUUAAACCAUAUCAUUUAGAGGAAGGUGAAGUCGUAACA